ensembl:lncRNA
CGACAUUUCAUUGCGCAUGUGCUGGGAUUAAAGGCUGAUCCCCCUUGAUCAGGACCCCUGUCAGCCCAGUGUGAGAGGCCUGACCUAUGCAUCCCAGGACCCCUGUCAGCCCAGUGUGAGAGGCCUGACCUAUGCAUCCCAGGACCCCUGUCAGCCCAGUGUGAGAGGCCUGACCUAUGCAUCCCAGGACCCCUGUCGGCCCAGUGUGAGAGGCCUGACCUAUGCAUCCCAGGACCCCUGUCGGCCCAGUGUGAGAGGCCUGACCUAUGCAUCCCAGGACCCCUGUCGGCCCAGUGUGAGAGGCCUGACAAGGAGGCGGGCAUAGCUAUUUGUCUCCCACGUCAAUCUUGAGGGUGACUGAAGCCUGCUUGAUUGAAGUGGGGUAUGCGGGUCUCCAUCAAUCUCUGUAGGUGGUUGAGUUUUCUAAAGUCAAAGUAAAUCACGUUUACGUGAUGACAUCACACUUUGUUACUUUGUAUAGUUUCUUGAAGCAUUCGGACAGGAGAGCAGUGCUACAAAUUGUAUGAGUCAAAGGGUCCUGCACACUGUUGGGUGGCCGGGUGCCCAUAUAAGGCAUAUGGCUCUAAUAUAUUUCUUAAAUGUCAAAUGAUGUCUCAUUAUUUCUCACCAUCAUUUAUGUUGAUCAAUAUUUCGGUUGUGCUGGCCUAAUUUGUAAAUGAUCAAAUAAAUGUCUGAUCAAUACAUACAAUUCUGAAUAUAUUGCUAUUUAUAAUGCUAAUGAAGAGGCACCAAUAAAUUGUCCAGUACACUCAUUAUAUGCUGUUUUCAUAU